UUGUUAGUCCAGUCCUUCAGAGAGGUUCGUUUUGGCUCUCUGUCAUCACCGGGACGCUGGCAGUGAAUGUGUGUCAUGGUUACAAUAGACUAGAGUGUGGUAACAUAGACCAACCAUGAAAGCCCAGCGGGAAAGGCUACAGAUUCCGGGGCUGACCUUGGAUCUCACUCCAAGAAGCCUGAGCCCAACCCCGUCGAGCCCGGGCAGUCCUUGCAGUCCGCUCUUCGCUUUUCACUUUUGCAGUUGCCGCACAAGCAACCGGAAAAGUUUGAUCGGCAAUGGGCAGUCACCGGCCUUGCCCCGGCCGCACUCACCUCUCUCUGCUCACGCAGGUAA